UGCAGGUCUGGAUGACGCCUGGGCUCAACAAAAUGCCAUGUCCUGAAAGCUCCAGGUGGUGUUACCCAGGAGAAGCAUUUUCCUUUAGAGUGUCUGUGGGUGGAAUCAUGUGGAAUUUACAGCUGUAAUCUUCUCCUCAUCCCUUCCUGUGGUGGAAAACUAGAGAGAAUUUUGAAGGUGACCCAAUGGGAGAGUGGGGAGAAGAAGCCUGUCUCUUCCUGAAAAUAUGUAUCUGCACAUUCUGCCUCAUGCUCUGUUACCUUGUAUUCCUGUCUGCUGACCACGUGCAGGAGUUCCAGUGUCCUGUUUUAGUCAGCAUCAGUGAGGUGUAUGAAGUUAGGUAAGCUCUCAUGUUCCUCCAAGUAGCUGUACAAGCAGUACUGGGGCUGUGCACAAGUUCU
rnacentral:lncRNA from 1 species